GACGAACGCUGGCGGCGUGCCUAAUACAUGCAAGUAGAACGCAGUUGCGAACGGGUGAGUAACGCGUAGUUAACUGCCUCAUAGCGGGGGAUAACUAUUGGAAACGAUAGCUAAUACCGCAUACUGCGAGAUGGACCUGCGUUGUAUUAGCUAGUUGGUGAGGUAAAGGCUCACCAAGGCGACGAUACAUAGCCGACCUGAGAGGGGGAUCGGCCAAAACGGGACUGAGGAAAAGCCCAAGCUCCUGCGGGGUGCAACAGGAGGGAAUCUUGAGCAAAGGGCGGAAGUCUGACCAGGCAAAACCGCGGGGGUGGAGAAGGGUUUCGGAUCGUAAAGCUCUGUUGUUAGAGGAGCGGUAACUAACCAGAAAGGGACGGCUAACUACGUGCCAGCAGCCGCGGUAAUAC
rnacentral:rRNA from 1 species